UAUCUACUGGCCAGUGGAAUAGUGCAGUAAAGUUCAUACAGAGACCAGGAGUCUUAGAAAACUGACCUAGAGCAGGAGAGACAGGUCACAUAUUGGUAGGAGUAAUGUGUCAUGUUUCAGGCACUACACGCUGGAUGCUUCCCUGCCUUUGCGUCUGCGACCAGAGUCAAUGGAGAAGCUGCGCUGUCUCCGGGCUUGUGUGAUCCGAUCUCUGUACCAUAUGUAUGAGCCAUUUGCUGCUCGAAUCUCCAAGAAUCCAGCCAUUCCAGAAAGCACCCCCAGCACAUUAAAGAAUUCCAAAUAGCAUAGCUUGUGUGGGACACUGGAGCCGUUGUGAUGGCAGCAGAAGUGUUUUCCCCUUAAAGCCAAGCCCAUUAAUUUUGAUGGAACAGCAGGACGUACAGGGCAUGUCUGAAGGGCAGGACAGCUGGCACGGCGGACGACCCACCCCUUAUCCCCUGGGAGUGCUUACUUUUCUGGUGCAGAAAGAUUGUUGGGAACAGACAGGAACCAAUGUGGGAAUUCAACUUCAAGUUCAAAAAACAGUCCCCUAGG
rnacentral:sRNA from 1 species